GGGUUUAACAAGUAGUAUGGCCAAUAAUGGGCAGAAUAACAUUACUCAACAUCAAAGAUGAAAUACAAGGGUAGAGACACCUCUAUUUAUAAGCCAAGGGUGUCUCUUUCUAACCCUAAAAGCAGGAUCUCCCACCUUUGCUCUCAUUGGCCAAAAAUGAGGCCUUCUAACCUCUCCAAUGAUGGGAGAACAUGUGGCCACUCACAAAACACAAUCAUCUUCAUUCCUAGAGUGUCAUAUGGCCACUACUAUAAGUAAAUCCUCUCCACUCCUAUAUGCAUGAUUUGAUAUGAUUGAGGCAUUUCUUGUUUUAGCUACUUGGCC
rnacentral:lncRNA from 1 species